AUUUUGUGCAUUUGCCAAGUUAGGAAUCUGUAAACUAGACCUUGGGAUGAAAAAAAAGAUGAUACAAACUUUUGCUUUGAGUAUGGACGAUCUGAACCUUUGUACAGACUCAGAGGAAUGUGGUUAUUAACAACAAAUACCCUCUCAAUUUUUCCUCUUCUCCAAAGUAACUGGUCCAUACAUGAGCUCAGUUUUUGUGGUAACCCUUAGGGUGAGUGCAAACAUCAGAGCUCUCAUGAAAAGCAUUCGAUAUACUUUAUGGUCAGAGAGGGGGAAGAGAAGUAAGCCUGGAGCGCCUGCAGACCUGCAAUACCUAGGAAAGUGUUCCCAGUUCCCUCUAGACCUGUAGGCAGACUGGGUUUCUCCAAGCUCUUCAAAACUUGUCUGUGAAGGAUUACUUCCCAGAAUAUGUCCUCAAGAAGCUGCCUGGCCAGGCUGGGAUGAAGGUGGCAGUGGAGCAGGAGUGAUCCCCUUUGGUGAGUCCUGAUUCAAUGUCAGUCUGAAAUGGAAAGUAUUGGGCUUUCAGACUAUGGUGGUGGAAGUUUAAUCUUCCAGGGCUAAAUCUACACAUCAGAGAGCAGAGCAUGCCUCUACAGGAUUUGUGCUGCUACCCUGCGAUGAGAGGCUGGGAAAGAGUUUGGAAAUAUCCAUCUAAUGCCUGGUAAAUGAGUGUCUACAUUGAACAAAGCAAACAUUGCCACACUUGCCAGUUUUGCCAGUGAGGCUUGUAGGAUGAGUGGGCACUGGAGUUUCAAGUAAUCCCUCUCUCAGAAGCAAUCUGUCUCGAGUCAAUGGUGAGCAGCAUUGGGAUGGGGUAAGCAAUCCGUGCUGCUGCUUCUGCUGCGCUGUCUGUGGAUAAAUGAAGGCAUUUAGUUAACCAGACGUGUAAUUCCAGCCUGUUUUAAUAAGUUUGAAUUACACACACUGAGCAUCUUGAUGCAGGUAUGGAAGAGUAGGUUUGUUUAUGCCAGUUUUUAAUGCCACUCGCGUUAUUUUGGAUACCAGUGAUGUUAGACUACAAGUCUAAUCUCUUCUCUGUUAGGGUCUCACUUUUUAUUUAGAUUUUAAAACGGUAUUCAAAUGAGGUUUUGACCGAAACUGAAUCACUAUGUACUUGAAAGCUAAGGAGCUUAUCAGGCAUCUGAUAAUGUUUUCAGGAUUUCCCCAGAUUAGACCGCGGAGUGUACAGACAGGAAGCUGAAGUAUUGAGCGCCUGACCAGAGCUUCCUCCUGUGCAAGAGUGGGGGUUUCUCCAACUUGAAUCUUUAGCUCUACAAGCACAGUCCGAGUCUUGAAGUCCAAGGGAUAAAGAGCACCCAAAUCUUUCAGCUGGGUCCUCCGAGCGUGGAGAAUGGAGUACUGCACUUAAGCCCUGCUUGCAAGGUCAGCAAAACAGUUCUCACCUCUCCCUGCUGCUGCUUACCUUCCUGGCUCCUUAUCAAGCAGGGAAUCAGAAAGGGACUUUCCAGAGCUAUAAACAUGUGAGCUGAAGAGAUGGAAUGAACCCUUAUGCAAAUGAGUCUUGAUUCCCUUCCCUUUAUAAAGAUAAAAAGUUUUUGAGAGAGCAACGGCUCCUCCAGAAUGUGGGUGUCCGGAGUUAUUGCCUCGGACUGGCUGGAUCUCUCUGUGCUAUCUGUCUGUCUGUCCGCCUUUCUUUCUGCUUGUCUGUCUUUCCAUUGUAGAGAACAAAGCGGAGUGAUGUAAAAUAGAAAAUGAGACAAGCAAACCUUUGGUGAUUGAAGAGGAGGAAGGAAAAUGAAAGAGAAAAAGCUGAAGAGUGGGAAAAAGAUAAAAUAAAAUGAAUUUUGGGGAUUCCACUGUGAGUAAGAGCUGAAAAAAAAGUAAGCUGAUUUAUUACAUGUUUAUCUUCUGCCUGCGAGUCAGUGUGCCUUGUAUAUGCGAGGGGUGAACUGCACAUUAAAGAUUGAAUCAAAAAGCCAAAUUCUUCCUCAAUUCCUCCAGCUUUAAACGAGCAUAAUUCUGACAGCUCCGAUGGAUUUACAUUUUGUAAACAGCAGCGGAAUCAAGAUCAAGUCCUUUAAGUCAUUUUGAGUCAUAUUUAUGCUGAAGUUAUGAGAAAUUUAGAAUGACUUUUAAAUAACGUUUGUCAGGGAAGCUGCACAUUUUCUAACGCUUCUCUUCACUGGGCAGGAAUUUUGCUAUGGUCAUUGCAGUGUUGUUAUGACUUUAUUCUGAAUCCAAUGGCAGUACAGAAAGAAGGGGUGAUGUUAUCGUUAUGUGCAUCCAUAUUUUCCUUGCAUUAUGACUUAUGUAUAUUCAUUUUUAUUUUAAAUGUGUAUUUUAACAACCGUUUAAACAGGGAGAUGGCAUGAGCUAGUUGAUGUAAGUAUUUUUUUUUCUCUCCAUCAAAUGCCACUGAUUUUGAAAAUGCAGUGUUUGACUGCAGCCGGAGGGUUUAGCUGGCUACACCUUGCUUUCUUUCACAUUAAUCCUUUACUCUUUUGCAGGUUUAUUUCUUCCUUUGCGUGCUCUGAGCUUAUCUGGGCAUCCAAAAGUUUGUUUUAUAGUAUGGAAGAAGAGGGACAGAGGAAGCACCGCAGGUUUUCUUGAUGAAAUUUCCAAGCUUUUGCAGGUGUGGAGACGGGCUUCUGGAGCCUGCAGAAUAAGGCAGCUCCCAUCCCUCUCUUUCUCCACCUAAUCAGACAGUUUCUCUUACUCUUCCUUUUUCUGAACAGUUUGUUCGCUAAAAAAUGCUGUUUCGAAUGAACUGAAAUUAUUGACAGAGCUGAAUGGAGUGGUGCAAAUAGUACUGGGUAAACCAUCAAAAAAAUAUUUUGACAUUUGUAGAAUUAAAUCCUAAUUCUUUCUUUGAAAGUGCUUUUUUUCAUUUUCAUGUUCUUCUUAUCGUUUUUAUGCAGCAAUAAUGACAGCAAAGAAGAAACGAAGUAUUUUGUUUUAGGCCAAGAAAUACGUUCUAGUGCAGCUCAAAUUAUUUGCUUAUUUAUUUAUUGUUCAGAAAAGAACAAAAGUCACUCCAGGUUCCACCAAAUGGCAUUUUCCUUUUCCUUUCUUUCUUCUUUUUUUUUUUUUGAUUAGUAGAGGAAAACAUGGCUAAUUGCCACAGCCAAAAGUCCAUACCAUUGUCAGGACCAGCUGUAUUUCAGCUAUGUUAAUCUGGCAGAAUACUGAGCAUUCAUUUUCUGUGGGAAAUGAUGAUUAAAAAAGGGAAUUAUUUUUGAUAAGAAAAACGUACCCUUUUCUGUGCUUUUAUUGGUCAGAUUAAAUAUAUAAUCCACCUUUUCCCAUAAUCAGGGAAAGAAAAAAAAAAAAAAAAGGAGGAGAAAAGUCAGCUUUCAUUAUUGAAAUAGAUUUUCUGGAAGAUUUUUGACCCAAUUCCCUAACAUGAAAGGCUGCAGCUACUCUCUCCUGCAGUGUUUCAGAUGCCUGUGCUCCAUCGCAGCUUCCAUUGGGGCUGAGCGCUUCCCUUGGGCAGCAGAGCCUGGAGCUCCUGGAGCCAUGGGAUGAGGCUGCGGUGGGGACUCUUUGGCAGGACAGAGGUUUCAAGUGUGUCAGUGACUGCCUGUGGUCUUUGUGGGGGGAUUCAGUAAGGAAAAGUAUGGAAAACAGAGAGCUGCAGAAAACUAUUUCAAAGCUUGGAUUCUGUAGUGCAUGCUGGAUAGCCAAGUCCUCACCGGCAACUUGAGCAAUGUCAUGUCAAAAGUCUGUGUAGAAAUCAAAGAAUGUCUUUACUUUUCACUGUAAUCAUUUGUAGCAGUUAAUACAUUUGAUUAAAUGUUCGAGAGUUGGUCAUGUUGAAUCUGAAUGGCACCUAGAACUAUUUUCUUUAAAAUCAGCCCCGGUGAGCUCAAGGGGAGCCAGAUUUAACAUCGUGGUGAGCGUAUCCUGGUGGAAGGCAGGCUGGCUCCCCGCAGGCUGUCUGCAUCAGCGCUUCUCAGCCUUCUCUAAUGGGGCCUUCUUGGAAAAGCCGUGGCUGGACCAUUUCCCACGCACAACAAGGAGCCGUCUGCACCUGCAGGCGCUCACUGGCAGCAUCCAGAGAGCGGCUCCCGGCUCCGUCUGCCAGCACUGGUGCUUCUCUGCCAAAUGGAGCAGACAUGUGGUUUGUAUCUUCUAAAUGAGCUCGUGCAUAGAGCAGGUUCUGGCGUCCGACAGCAAACAGUGGGCUGCAGCCCACGGGCUGUGUAACACCCAUCCAGCUCCCGGCGCUGUCACGCCUGCACCUGGUCAUGAGCCAGAGCUCUCGGGCUGUUGCAUUCGCUGCUGUGUGCCGGUCUCUGCAUAACUACGGCCAGUUUGCACUGCACUUGAGCUGUUUCAUUAUUCUAAUUUUAAUUGUAGUUGAUUUCAGUGAAUUAAUGUUGAAAUGGGCUAUCUAUGAACUGAAAGUGUGCUUGCUCUUCACAGCUUAUUUUCAGUAGCUGCAGUAUUGUUAGAGUAUAAAUACAGCCAUCUCUUCUGGAAUCGUAGGAUCACUGGAGUUUGAAGGGAUGUUUAAAGGUCUUUGAUUCCAAUUCCCCUUUCCAGAUUUCAACUCCAGCUUUUAUAUUUCAAGUAUUUAGAUACUGAACCUGUCUGAAGAAAAAAUAUCUCCGGCUUCUAAUGGAUUUCUAACAUUACAAUUGUUUAUUAUAAUAAAUAAUUGAAUAAUAAUAGCCUAAUAUAAAAAAGAAUGAAAUCCUUGCUGAGUGAUCAUGGCAUUCCUUUUUUAAAUAAUGCAAUAAUUACAAAAACAUUUUAGUUAAUUAAAACUUUAAGUUAAUGUUUGCCUGUUUUUCAACUAUUUAUGCAGAGCCUAAUCAUUUUGGGUUAGUGAUACAGAGCACAGCAGCUGCACAGGGACAAAGACUUGUAAGUACCUGUGCCAUUGCCACAGAUGGAACAAUGCCAGUUCUUUUGAGUUCUUAAAAAUGUGGAAAUUGAAAGGGAGCAAGGAAUGGCCAUCUACUCUCUCCUGUUUGCUUUACCCACCUCUCCCUAUGUUGCUGGUUGUUUAGAUUGUAUCUGACAUGUAUGGCCGGACCAGACUUUUCUGGUGCUUGGUUCCACUAUGUGCAUCAGGAACUGGUUUGGGUGAGCAGUCCAUAGUGCCACGUGUUGGGACGCAGCACGUGCCUUGCACCCAGCAUCUGCAGCACAUGCCUGGUUGGAUAUCUGAGCCAAGGGAGGAAGCGCUGCUGGAUCUGGGACCGGCUCCAUACACGAGGUAGGCCUUUUCCUGACACGGCUAGUCACUGACAUGAAACGUUUUGCCGCUAGGAUGUAAAAUGUAUCAGUGAAAUGAUAAGGAAUAAAUAGGGUUGGAGUUUCACAGCUUUGCAAGGGCUUUUAACUUCUCAGCUCUCAUUACCCUCAUUAGCACAAUGAGAAUGGGCUUCCUGGCUGUCCCCACUGCUCCUUGCAACAUCUGGGCACUGUCAAGGCAGUUGUUACUACAUUUGUGUCCGUGUGUGCAAGAUGCAUGCUUUAUACUGUUUACAUUCCCUGCGCUGUGUUCCCUUCUGUCAUCUGAGAGUGCAUAGGAAGAAAUACGGAGUGCAUGCAUGUCUGCAUUUUUCAGUACAAAAACGUGCUGGAGUCGUGUUUGGAGAGCUGUGACCUAUUGUGGCUUCUUUUAAGUGUAACUGAAACUGUGCUGUAGUAUAACCGUACUCUAACUAUGCGCUAUAGAGAUUACUAAAAGUACUUGCUUUAGGAGGCUUUUAUAAUUAUUACCGAUGGCAAGAAGGUUUUAAAGCUCUGAAACAGGUUUUUCAUGCUAUGAUUUUCCAUAUGAUUGUUUUAAACGCCUACGGUGUUCAUGCAUGCAGCUGAGGUGUAAUAUGUUUCAGAUAUCAAUUGAUACAUUUUGCCACGUACUUUUUCUUUAAAUUAAAUUAGCAGCGCAAUGCAAAAACUGUCAGUUUUAGGUCAAGAAAUGAAAUGGAAUAUGCAAUGAUUUUGAUCUUUCGCAAAGGAAAAUGGUCUGUUGCACAAAGUAAUGUGUUGUUGGAAAAUGUGAUUAAAAUGGAGACAACAGAACUGAACCUCCAGAUAAGCAGAGUGGAAUAAUUCUACAGGGGAGGAAAUUGCAUGUUUGUUAUUCGUGACAUGGGCAUUGGCAGCAGAAACACAGCUACCGCCUGAAAUUAGAAAUGCAUCCAGAAAGUAACUGGGAGUUUCAGAAAGCAGUUUGGGAACAAACGCAGCUGCUUCUGCCAAGAGCAAAACAUGAAGGGGGGGCGUGGGGGGGGGACACUAAUACCGAUUCAUCACAAGAUGUGAGAUUGUUUGUUUCAAAGACAAGUUUAAAAAAAUAGGAUUUAUUUUUUUUAAAGCUCUUUUUUUGUUCAGUGGGGGGAGGACUACAAAAGUCAACGCGUUCUUCCUGGGCUGAAGGCAUCGCUGGCUUGAUGCAUUUGAAGGGUUCAGGAGGAGGAAUCCUUGCGGGCAGUUCCUUGUUUGACACUGGGAGCCCAGGGAGCGAUGCUGGAGCAGGGCGUGCUUAGCGCCCAGGUGUCUGUCUGAUGGAACUGGUAGAGCAGAGUGCAGUUCAAGUGCAAAGCUUUUUCUUUGUGAUUGCACUGGAGGUUUGCUGUUGGAUUUUGCAGUGCUGAAUACGAUUUUUACAAAACUAGGGAAGAGUUGCAGCUUCUCUGCGUGUAAGCACAGAAAUGUUUGUCUGCAAACAUGGAUAUUUGCUUUACCAAAACGGAUUAACAAAAAAUGACAGUGUGCUAAGAUACAGGCAGUGUUUGCCUUGUGUCCAAGCACUGCGUCAGGACCUCCUUGCUGAUCCUUACAUUUAUACGCAGAGCAGCUCUGUGUUGGCGUAUGUGAUGGGAGCAGAGCUGCUCAGCAUCGCAAGGGCCCAGCUGCUGUGCUGCCCGUCCUGCUGCCUCAGUGCCUCCUUCUUCUGCUCUGCCCUCUUGCUUCAUCCAGCCAGAUGGCAGCGUAGCUGUGGGAUAUGUGUUUUCCCACCAGCUAUGGGGGGAAAAUGUAUUUAACUCAAUAAGGGUGAGGAAGAUGCAUUAUGCUCUUAAUGAAAUGUGACCAUAUUCAUAUUUUUAUUUCAAGUUCCCCACCAGUGUUAAUUAAUUAUCACGCACGAUGAGCUCAUUUAAAACGUAUCUGGAUUCACACGGAGCUGCAGUACAUCAUUGACUGGUUAAGAAGCAUUAAAAUCUCACUCUUUGGUGUAUGUGCAGACAAAUGUAGAUGUUGUAUUAGCAAGAAAGGUACUAACGGCAACAUGGAGAAUAAAAAUAGGGGAUGGUAAGGAAAACGCCGAAGUUUUACACAAUCCAUUAACUUGAUAGCUUUAGGAUCAUUAUGUUCAUUUCCUUUUGAAACAUAUUUAAUUCAAAAGGAAACUUAUGGAAGAAUAGUCUUCAGGCACUUAACAUUACUUAAUCACUCUAAAAAGAUUCGCCUUUUGGUGUAGCAGUAAAACUUUAUAUGAUGAUUGCCUAUUAAGUGCCUGUCCUAUAGGGAUAGUUAUUUCUAGUGCAAUAAGACCUCCAAGCUGUGAGGUACUAAGUGACCCUGAUGGAAUAGGAAAAAAUAAUGUUGCUUCAAUAAGUGGACUUACGGUCUGUUGAGAGGCUCACCUCCUUACUGCUCUUGCAGUGGUAGAACAAUGUAAUUCUAUGGGCUUUCUUCUUGUUUGCAAGUGCAUGAAUUUAAUUCUUGAGCAAAUGAGUUCUCAGAGGCUGGGGGACACUCCACGAAUGACACCCAUAUGACAGAGGAUGCCAUGUGUGAAGUUGAUAUUGGGUCAAAGCAGAAUGUGUCUGACACUGGCAAUGUGUGUUUUUAAGGUGAAAGAGAACGAAUGGGCUGUGACGACACUAAAUGCAGCAGGCAAACUGAGAGAGAGUUUGACCUUCUCUCCUAUGUAGUUAAAAAAACCUCUAAAGUCAACUUACCUUGAACAUGACUGGGAUUAUGAAGCUAUGCACCCAUCCAUACUGGCAGUUUAGGAAUUUAAGUUAGACAGUGGCUGUGCUGGUGGAGAACCCAGAUGGGAUGUCCUUUGGGCAGAACAGUGGGACAGGUCAGCUUGCUUGCAGCUACCUCAGAUCCAUUUACUGAGCACUGAGGAGGGGGUUGUGAUGUUCUUCCUUGUCUUUAGAGUGUCUGAUUGGUUAGAGGAAUGCAAACGAGCGUCCAAAUCAGAUGUCCCCCUGCUCUGGGUGCCUCCAGGGCACACCUAUCGACUCUGUGCUCUGAAUGCGGGGCCUGGAGUCUGUUGCAGAGGCACUUCCAUGCUUUAUUCUUUUUGGCUCUUUCUCUAUUUUACCAUAUCGUGUUUUCAUUGAUCACUGUUCAAUUUUUUUCAUAUUUUAGACUUGGAGAGUCACUGCCACAGCAGGGCUGGGCUGCAGACAGAUAUCUUACUUUACAUCAGCAAAGAUCUCCUUGGUAAGCCGUGCUCCAGUGACCAAUUAGAAAGACCAAACAAGCAGAAUGUAUUGAAUUACAGAGUCAUAGAAUCACUGAGGUUGGAAAAAAACUCUAAGAUUAUCAGGUUCAACCAUCCACCCACCACCAACACUGUCCACUAAACCAUGUUCCUGAGUGCCCCAUCUCCAUGGUUCUUGAACACCUCCAGGGAUGGUGACUGCACCCCCUCUCCCCCGCAGCCCAUUCCAGUGCCUGACCACUCUUUUGGAGAAGUUUUUCCUAAUAUUCAACCUGAACUUCCCCUGGUGUAACUUAAGACCAUUCCCUCUCCUGCUAUCAAAUAAGACUGCUGUGAUAGCCUCUUUCAAAGGAAAAUUUGCCUGUUAUUUGAGGAUCUUAACAAGAAGCUGCUUGUGCUCAUUUGUUUUUUCUCUCUGUAGUAGAUGUCUCACAAAACCAGCAGCCUAACUGGGGGGACUGAACUGGUCUGAGGGUACCACAAGACACUUGCUUUGCAAGAGAAACUGUUCAAGAAGAGUAUUUUAAAAUUCUGCUGUUUGGAUGACUGGCUUAAUAGCCUAAGAAAACAAUUACAGCAGUAAAGCCACAGGCACGCUGUGGGAUGCUGCAGCAGCCAAGAUGCAGGGUGCUGUGCCAAGCACUGCGCUGGGGCUCUGCCGACUGGGCUGCGGGUGCUGCUCCGUCAGCUGCAAAAGUGGCACAGGGUGUUUGCAAAAUCACUCAUUUCACUCUGUUCAGGUGUUUGUUGAUCACUCAUAGUGAAGGUUUUAGAAACGAAGCUCAGAGCUGUUUCUAGUUGAAAUGGUUUGAAAAAGCUGUUGCUGAUUGCUGCAGGACAGGCUGUCCGGAGAACAAGCUUUGACAUCCAUGCAAAGCCCCGGCCAUUGCGUGGCAGUCACCAAUGUGCUGUGGCACAUGGUGUGGCACAAUGCGUGGCACAAUGGCAGUCACCAAUGGGCUCUGCUGGGAGGGUCAGAUUCCUGCCACCACUGGGCAGCCUUUUGGGGGUGAUUAGAAUGAAUUGGACAUUUUUAUUGGAAAUUUGGAAAUAUUUUUCAGCUCGGAAUCAAAUUACUCUCUCAGGGGACAACCUAUAAACUCCUUAAACUUCUAACAUUUUGUUUCUACAUUUCAUAAAUAUAUGCUUAUUUAUAAUUUAAGAAAACCAGCACUAGAACAAAAUAAUUCGUUCUCUUUCAACCUCGCUAUUAAAUACUUUUACCUAAAUUUUGUUUGUGAGGGUAAAGUGAAUGAUUUAAUCUGAACCCCUUCAACCUCCAAAUAUUUUACCUCAGAGCAAAUAUUUCUUUACACUGAUCCUGAAGAGACUUUCCGAGACAUCUCAUCUGGAGCAUAAAGAAAUAGGCUUAAACUGUUCCAAAUAAAUCUGAAACUUUUCUUUUUAACGGGGACACCACAGAUUGCGUGCAGUGCUGUGCAGACGCAGUGUCUCAUUUAGUGGCUUUGAAGGGAUGAGCGCAUCAUCCAACAUCUUAUCCAAUCUGUUUCUCCUCAAAAAUUCUAAGUUUGGGGUGUGAAGCUUGAUGACACCAGUGACAUCUCUUACAUUUGUACAGUAAUGAUGAGGUGUUUCCUGGCUGAGAUGCCAGCUUUGAUCAUCAGUGCACUUGAGCAGCACUUUAUCUGUAGCUCAAAGCUGCUGUCCUGGGGUAAGGCUGUCACCCUGGGAUGAGACUGUCACAUCAGACCAGGCUGUGCCACAACACAGCAGUGCAGCCACGGCACGGAUGGCUCCUGCUUGCCUUUCUGCCACCCAGGCUCUGAUGGCUGGAGGGUUGUACCAGUGCUGGAUUUCCUUCUUUGGAGCAUCUGGAAGUAUUAGAUUGCUGUAUGACUCUGGAAAAUUUUACCUCUGUGCUUUCUUACUUUAUAAAAAAAAAGAGAGAAGAAAAAGAAGGAAAUGUAUAACUUAUCCCUAUGAAAUUCUCAAACAAAGGCUUCCUUGAAAGUGCUGAGUGUUGUAUUGUUUAUACUCCUUAGCUAUAAAUUUCAUUUUUUAUUACCAGCGAUUCUGCUAUGUGUUAGGACACCUUCUGGCUAUGAAUGUGGCCUCCUCUGUGCCAAAAGAAAACAUAAAAUAGCCUGUUUCUCAAUAUAUAUGUCCUCAAGCCAUUAUUUUGCAUCUGACCUAUGGUCUGGAUAGAGUUGCUUUGGCUGCAGUGAAGAUUUCCCUCUUCUGUUUUACAGCACCUGGAGGAAAGCCAAGCACCGGGGAGAGAGAGCAGAGGAUGAGAUACUGCUGCACAUCAGAACGGCCUUGAAACGAAUGUCGUGUAUCCUCAGCUUUGAGAACUGAAUUCCAUGGGUUGUAAUUGAAUCCUUUGUCAGACCCAUGGGGCUCAGUUCUUCAGCUUGGAUAUUUCUGUCUUCACAUACACGGGAGAUCAAAGAAGCACUUGAUCAUGCGCUGACUCUUCCGGAUUCUGAUAGCAGCAAAUAGGAAAGAGAAAGAAUAACUGAUGUGAAUCACUCUGACAGGGAGGUUUCACUGCAAAGACCAGGCUCUCUCAUGUCGAGUAGCUGCGCAGUGAUUGAACCUCUCCGUGGCUGAUAGUCUGUCCCUGCAUUGCUGCUCGCUGGUUAAUUCAACUCUCCUCUCAGUUUUAUCGAAGUUACAUAUCAAGUGCUGAGAUGAUGCUGACUGACUUAUGCUUCCCAAAAAUUGUGUGGUGCUGCUGAAUGUGGCUCUGCUCCCACAUGGGACCAGCAACACCCCAGCCCUGCCAAGUCUACCCACUGUUGGUCUGCUGCAGCCUCCUGUCUGGGAUCACUGCUGCACAGCUACUGUUUGCUCUUUUUUGGCCCCCUUGAGGUGGACCCAUUCAAGUUGUGGGCUGAAAAAGUUUGUGUUUCUUCCUUGGAAGAUCUGUGUUAAAGUUUAUUUUCUUUCAGGCGUCAGGAAAAUAAAAUUUAUGGUCUUCAAACAUGUAAAGAGGUAUAAUUACCAACGAGAUUUCUACUUCAUUCCUGCAAUAAUAACCCUUCCUAAAUUACAUUUUUCAAACUCAGUAAAAUGGAUCAGUCACUGAUCUCAUCCCUGUGGUGCAAUGCUGUUAAAAGCACAGGAAUAUUAAAAUCCCACAGGUGCAGGAGGAGCGUGUUCAGCUAAGUAGUUUAAAGCUGCUGUGUGCCUUUUAUUCUGAAAAUGUAUUUACACUAAAAAUAAUCAGAUGUAAUCACUGUUGCCUGUGGAUACAGAUGUACCUUUGUACCGAUGUGCUUUUCAUAUAAAUUUUAUUCCAGGGUUUGAAGGGUUUCUUUGUGGCUGUCUGAAACAUAUCAUGCUGCCCAGUUGUGAGACGACGGAUCUUGGAAGGACUCACCAGUCCCACCAGCUCCUGCUGGGAGAUAUCCAUUAAACAAGAAGAAGGAGAAACAUACACAAACGAAAGCGAAAUUCUGAAGUUUCAUUUCUGCUGUACACCCUGUCAAAGAGAGGGAAUUAAAUUGGAGAGUCAUUCAGGUGAAUUCAGCUGUAUUCGUUGCUGCUGUAAACUUGAAACUCAAUUUUGGGCCAAGUAAAGCAUUUGCUAGAAAAUAUUACCCCUCUCUCUAUCUUUUUCUAGCUGAUUUAUGCCACAUUCUGGUGCUUAUUCACAGAUCUCAGCCUGUGCAUUUUGUUCAGGUAAAGCAAUGGGCUGAGUCCUCCUGGCACAGCUGUGGCAGAGCAGCACAACCACCCACAUUUUACAGAUAAAUAAGCUGAGUCCUGACCCUUAGAAUGGGACAACAACCCUGAGUUCCACUGAGUGCCAGCUGUAUUUCAGUUCUGGCUUUCUGCUUUUCAUUCCCAACAAAUAAAUGACAACAAGCACCUCCUUUGGCUGCUGGCAGGAGCGUGCCCCAGAGUCCCACUGAGCCUCUCCUCCCUUGGCUGAGGGUCUAUCCCCAUUUGCUGAUCAACCACUGCUCCCCUUUGCUGCCUCCCACACCAUGAACAGCCUCUGCCUUCCUUCUUGAUACUGUGCGUGCCUUGCCUGGUGGAUGCUGGUGGGAGAAGGGUGAGUGCUGGCUGCAGACCGGUGUUUCUGCUCAGCAAAUGAUCUCAGGCCCUUUCAAAAGAGUGACUGCACAUCGCACACUGCUCUGCAGAAAGCUCUGUGCUUGCUACCCUUUGGUACCCCAAGACAAGCUAGCUGCUGCCAAGUACAGCUCAUCCUUUUUUGGCUAGCAGCCCUUUUUGCUUCCAGGAAAAUGAUGAGUUUAUGUCAGGUUCAGUAAUCCUGAUGUCUGCACAGCUGAGAGAAAUAGCGCUUUAAUGUGUGCAUGACUGUGCAUGUGUAUAUAUGGAAACUACAGCUUUGACAAGCCUCUCGUCUGCCUUGGGAAGGAAACAGCAGGGCUUGAAAGCCAUGGAGUCGCAAUGCGCUGGCUAAGGUCAGCAGCUUUCAGUGACUCACAAUCUGUUUUCCUGGCAGCCCCACCAUACAGCAGGUUGUGCCCUUUUUAUCUUCUGUUUCUUUAUUUUUUUUAAAAAAGAAAGGCCUACAUAAGAAAAGCUGCUGGCUCCAGACAGCCUGGAAGUCCUCACCCUUUGACAGCAUGCAUGUUCUCAAGUACAGAAAGCUCUGCUCACUGGUAUCUCUACCAGCCUAUUUUUGCACUGGUAAGGAGAUGCCCUUUCAGUUUACAUUGGAUUGAUGUUACUCUGAAAAAUAUUUGCUAGGCUGUCUCUCUGGUAGCCAUCCUUGCUUUCCAUUUUCUGUAUGCUUGCAGCCGAGCUGGGGAGGAGCAAUGGGCACAGGCAGCUGAAAGCUGCUAGGGCACCGAGAUGCCUCCGGCUGCCAUUAAGUGCCUGGUUUCGAGCAAGAGGACAGAUUUGUUUCACUUUUUCUUCCUUUUCUUUGCUAAAAAUACAAUUGACACUGCCUCAGCAUUUACAGAUAAUACAUGGAUUGGUCAAAUAAUGUAAUUUGUUAAAAGAACCCAAAGAGAUAGAAUUUUUGACUUCCACUUCUACUAACUUUUUUCCCCCAAACUUUUUAAAACUCUCCUUACCGUCGUUUUUCUUUCUUUCAUAUUCCCAACAUUUCAUUGUCAGCUGCCUCCUAUACACACCGGAACAAGCACAGGUAAUCACUGGGAGAGGCAGCUACUUCAUUUCGAGACAAGAAGGAAACUUCUGAAUCAGAUUUGAAAUAAACAUAAGCUGUGCUACAGAUUUGUCUCUACAGGUACAUAUCUGCUCUGACCUGUGAACCUCCAGCUCUGCCCCACGCAUGUGCAGGCACAGCCCCAUGCUGUGCAGUACAGCCCAUACCUCCCAGGAGCAGUUCGCAGACAGAUGAAGCAGGCUGUGUAAGGACAGUUGCCACUGUGACGAUCCAUGCAGGUUCACAAGAACAUAUUAAAUAGCGGCCAUUAAUCUGCUGUUUAGAAAAAAAAACAAACAGCCAUGCAUUUCUACUUCCUAUAGAUAGCAAUUCAAUUAUUAUGGGGCUUGAGUCUCCUUGCACUCCUGUGAGAAGUUUUAUUCUUUAUUUAUUCUCAUUUUAUAGACUGAGACACGGGGACAUACUUGGCUGAGGACACAGAAUGAAUCUAUCUGAAGUUUUCUAGGAAUUUUGCCAUCGUUAAUAUCACUUGCUGAAAAGCAUUAGUGUAAAGGGGGCCAUCAGUGCUCUUCACAGCCCAUCCGCCUCUGAACAGUGCAGAGAUGUCCAUUUUUUGGCUGCACUGCUGCUCAGAAAGUUGCUCUGCCUCUUCCUGCCUGUGAGAGGCUUUGCAAGAGAGCCAAACGAUGAACCCCACAGCAAGAAGGACCACCUAAACCACUCCCACUUCCAAAUCAUCCUGUUAACAUUUGACAGCUUCCUGUGUUUUUCUCAUCUCCACCUUUCUGUGUUCUCAGCAUGGGAGGGCUGUGGAUAAGGAUACCUGUGGCACACGAGGCGCUUUGGGGCACAUUGCUGCCAAUCAGCCGGGUCACAACGAGAGCCCCCGAAGAAGACCUGAGGCCACGGCUCCAGGAUUCAGCAUGGCAGGGCUUCAACAGUGGAAACUUUUAUCUUUUCCAGCAUGAAAACAAAGCUCUUCUCCUGACUGAGAUUUCAUGCAGCGCCGACAGCAUUUGCUGGGCUGCUGCCAAGUAACAAAGGGCAAUAUUUUCUUAAAUAAUAAAAAAAAAAAAAGCAGAAAGCGUAUUAAAAGUUCCCAGCCUGUGUUUGUGAAGAUCUCGGAGCCGCUUGAUUAGGAGCUUGAAGUUGGUCGGACUCCUUCCAGCUUCCCCACUUCACCCUCCUUUCUGCACGAUGCUGCAGCUGCUCUGAUGAAAAACAG
rnacentral:lncRNA from 1 species